UCGAAUCCUGCACGACCCACCAAUUUAACAUCAAACUCAGAUGUUGAACGUGAAGGAUAACGUUGCGUCAGCAACGGCCCGUAGGGCGAGGCGAAGCCGAGUCAUCCUGCACGACCCACCA
rnacentral:sRNA from 3 species